CGUUGAUUACGUCCCUGCCCUUUGUACACACCGCCCGUCGCUACUACCGAUUGAAUGGCUUAGUGAGUCCUUCGGAUUGCUGUCUGGGAGCUGGCAACAGCAUUCGGGUGAUGAGAAGUUGGGCAAACUUGGUCAUUUAGAGGAAGUAAAAGUCGUAACAAGG
rnacentral:rRNA from 1 species